rnacentral:rRNA from 1 species
GGGCCCGCACAAGCAGCGGAGCGUGUGGUUUAAUUCGAUGCAACGCGCAGAACCUUACCUCGGCUUGACAUGCACGUGGUACUGAUCCGAAAGGAAAGGGACCCGCGAGGGAGCGUGCACAGAUGCUGCAUGGCUGUCGUCAGCUCGUGCCGUGAGGUGUUGGGUUAAGUCCCGCAACGAGCGCAACCCUUGUCCUUAGUUGCCUUCUCUAAGGAGACCGCCGGUCUAAACCGGAGGAAGGUGGGGAUGACGUCAAGUCAGCACGGCUCUUACGUCGAGGGCUACACACACGCUACAAUGGCCGGUACAACGGGCUGCCAAGGGGUGACCUGGAGCUAAUCCCACCAAAGCCGGUCUCAGUUCGGAUCGCAGGCUGCAACUCGCCUGCGUGAAGUCGGAGUUGCUAGUAACUGCUGGUCAGCACACAGCAGUGAAUACGUUCCCGGGCCUU